GAGUCCUGUGACUCAGUGACACUCUGAGGAACCCAUGACUGUGGGGUGGGCUUGGAACAAAUUCACUGUUGGCAGAAGCUGUCCACUGCCCCCAUUUUUUGCUCUGGCAAAAAUAGAUUUCAAUGGCAGCUUACGAAGGGGCCGCGGUGGGGAAGAGAUUGUGGACUGCAUGUUUGGCUGCUCUGUGGGGGUCUUGGCUGUGUAAAGGUCACAGUCACUGUGUAGUGGAUUAUGGGUUCAUUCAUCUCCACAGGGCAAGCUGGAGAAGUUUUUCUUGACUCACUGGAAACAGAAGUAAAAGGCUGAGGAAGGCAUUGCGAGAGGAGUUUGAAAUUCUUGCUUCAGGCCAUAUGGAGUGGAUAUUCUUUCCAGAAGGAAAUUACAGACCACUCUCUGUUUCUACUCAACUGCUUUUCACUCCAGGAUGCUUCACCUCUUGGGGCCUUCCCCAGCAGAGGCCCAGGAUCACCUGCAAAAUGCUUUCCCAAGGGUGGGGCCGGAAGCAGGGCUGCAGAUAUGUGUCCUGAACCUCCCAUGGACCCUGCUGGCUCCCUUCAAAGGCUUCGGGCAUAGCAACUUGCCUUUCCGUCUUGUUCAGUCUUCACCAGUCAGCCGUCUGCAGACUUCUCUCCCUCACGUUGUGGCAGAGGAGUUGUAUAUUCUCUAGAUUUUAAAAAUAUGUAAGUUACUUUUUCUUUAAAAAAAAUUGUCUCUGAAAUAA